UACGUAGGUGGCAAGCGUUGUCCGGAUUUACUGGGCGUAAAGAGCGCGCAGGCGGUCGUUCAAGUCGAGUGUGAAAGCCCCCGGCUCAACUGGGGAGGGUCACUCGAUACUGAUCGACUCGAAGGCAGAAGAGGGAAGCGGAAUUCCCGGUGUAGUGGUGAAAUGCGUAGAUAUCGGGAGGAACACCAGUGGCGAAGGCGACUACCUGGCCUGUUCUUGACGCUGAGGCGCGAAAGCUAGGGGAGCAAACGGG
rnacentral:rRNA from 1 species